UUAGCUAGCUUCGNUUAUUGGUCUGCUCCUGGAAAAUUGGGGGGUUUUACGGCAAGAGUCCCUCCGGAUCCCAGUGCGAGACGAAAUGUUACUACGCAAAGGAGGCUCCGGGAGGGUCCGCCACUACCUUUGAGGGCCUACGUCGACCGUAGAGCCCCAACACCAAGCAGAGCUUGAGGGUUGAAAUGACGCUCGAACAGGCAUGCCCGCCAGAAUGCUGGCGGGCGCAAUGUGCGUUCAAAGAUUCGAUGAUUCACUGAAUUCUGCAAUUCACAUUACUUAUCGCAUUUCGCUGCGUUCUUCAUCGAUGCCAGAACCAAGAGAUCCGUUGUUAAAAGUUUUGAUUAUUUUGCUUAUGCCACUCAGAAGAAACGUCGUUACAAUAGAGUUUGGUUAUCCUCCGGCGGGCGCCGGGUCCGGUCCCGCGGGGGGUCCGGUCCGGGCCGGGAGGCGUCCUUUUCAGGGGACGGCCUACCCGCCGCAGCAACAGUUGUAGGUAUGUUCACAAAGGGUUAUAGAGCGGUAACUCAGUAAUGAUCCCUCCGCAGGUUCACCCUACGGA
rnacentral:rRNA from 1 species